UACGGCAAUUCCUUCAACAGUCUUCUACAUCCUCCUCCUUUCUCUUUUCCCUCAACUUUAUCUUUUCUUCUUGCUCUUUUCAACAUACACCAAAACAACAUCGGCCUGCUCUUUUACUAUCACCAGAACAACAUCGGCCUGCUCUUUUUCUUUUACUAUCAUCAUCGGCUGAUCAUUCUCCAUUUCGUUAUCAAACCACCGGUCCGAUCUGAGCUUCAGAAUUGUCAGAUACAUGUUGAUGCUGCUGAUCAUCAUGCCUGCUUGCUUCCCGACUGUUCGUAUUAAUAGACAUUUAUUUUUACUCAGAUCUUUACACGAUAGAGUUCCAGAAAAGGGGCCUGCCACACUGUCAUCUGCUUUUGUGGGUAAAUGAAAGGUGCAAAAUCAAAAACGCUGAAGACGUUGACGCUUUCAUCAGUGCAGAAAUCCCAGAUCCAGUCAGGGAACCUCAGUUGCACAAAAUUGUCACUGAGCUAAUGAUGCACGGCCCGUGUGGAAUUGCUAAACCAGAAUCUCCAUGCAUGUCCAAAGGAAGAUGCUCAAAACGAUUCCCAAAACCUUACAAUGAAAAGACAUUCUUUGAUAAAAACGGGUAUGUGCAUUACAAAAGAUCAGCUUCCGGCAGAUUUAUUGUCAAGAUUAACAUAGAGCUAGAUAAUGGUUUUGUUAUUCCUUACAAUAAAACAUUACUGCUACGUUUCCAUGCACAUAUUAAUGUUGAAUAUUGUGGAUGGAACAUGAUGAUCAAGUACCUAUUCAAGUACAUAUCAAAAGGCGCUGAUCGAAUACGUUUUAAAAUAUCCAGGCCUACUGAUUUUCCUUCUGAGAUUUAACCACCUGUUACAUCAGUGGUUGAUGAGAUAGCUGAUUUUACCGACGCACGCUUUAUUUGUCCUCAUGAGGCAGCUUGGCGUUUAUUAAAUUUUGAUAUCCAUGCUCGGCAUCCUGCAGUGCAAACACUAGCCGUUCAUCUAAAAGACAUGCAGAAGGUAUAUUUCAGAAACAAUGAUCACCUUCAACAACUGGUAGCAAAUCAGUUUACCAAGAGGACAACGUUGACAGAGUGGUUACGUAAUAAUGCCAUUGAUCCUAGAGGAAGACAUCUACGAUAUGUAGAUUAUCUAAAUGAAUAUCGAUGGGAUUAUGGAUCCAAACAUUGGAUUCGAAGAACUAGAAAUAACGAAACGUCUGAAGUCACAAUUGGUAGGCUGGUUUACGUGCAUCCAAACUCUGGGGAGACUUUCUAUCUGAGAUUAUUGCUUUCCCACCAAAGAGGCUGCACAUCAUUUGAAAACAUCGAAACCGUUUCGGGACAAACUUUUCCUACGUACCGUGCAGCCUGUGAAAGACUAGGUUUGCUUGGAGAUGACAAAGAGUGGCAGUUUGCAUUCGCUGAAGUAGCAGCAUGGGCUACACCAACAGAACUACGAUCAUUGUUUACACAUAUGUUGCUAUUUUGUGAUGUCUCAGAUCCUACACGAUUAUGGGAAACUCAAUGGGGUACAAUGGCAGAUGACAUUCAACACAGAUAUCAAUUGGUGAACGACGAUGACCUUAGACAAUAUGUUUUGUACGAGAUUCAGCUGUUACUAAACUCAGGUGCUUCGAAUGCUUCUGUCAGAUUUUUGGAUUACCAACACUUCGAGAUGAUCUUUUGUUAUGUCUAACAAACCAUUUAUUAAUGGAGGAAAAGAAUUACGACAAAGAACAAUUAUCUGUAGAACAUCAUUUACAGAGACAAAAACUUCAUCCACGACAACUACUUAUAUACAACGAAGUAAUAGAAAACGUCACUGAAGGAACUCAAGUUCUCUCAUUUGUCUACGGUCAUGGUGGUACAGGAAAAACUUUCCUAUGGACCACAAUUAUUUCAGCCUUACGUUCACAAGGAAAGAUAGUUUUAGCAGUUGCAGCCUCUGGAAUAGCGUCUUUGCUAUUACCGGCAGGUCGAACCGCUCAUUCAAGAUUUAAGAUCCCAAUUGAUUUGAGCGAAACAUCCAUUUUUCAUAUAACGAAGAACACCCACACAGCACAGCUUUUAGCCGAAACGUCACUUAUAAUUUGGGACGAGACCCCUAUGAGUGAUCGUCGCUGCUUUGAGUCCCUGGACAGGUCACUUAGAGACAUUCUUAAUUGUCAAGAUCACCCUUUUGGAGGAAAAUCAGUGUUACUAGGUGGAGACUUUCGACAGACGUUGCCAAUAAUUCUCAUAUCUAUGGCCACUCUUCAAGGUGCAUAGGUUAACAGAAAAUUUGCGCCUCCUUUCAAACUGCAUAGAUCCAAACAGAGUUUCUGACAUUGCUGACUUCUCUAACUGGCUUCUUGAUGUCGGCGACGGCAAAAUUGGCAGACUCGCUUCUGCAGACCAUAGUGAUACCAAAAUCAUUGAAAUUCCCAACAAAUAUAUCAUACCUUUUAGUAACCAGGCUGUUCAUGAUCUUAUCCAAUUCAUCUACGAUGAAAACAACCUGAGCAAAAUUUGCCCAUCAACUCUUUCCCAAAAAGCGAUCAUUUGUCCAAAAAAUGACACAGUCGAUGAAAUAAAUGAUUUGGUCCUCGGCAAAGCUCCAGGCGAGAGUAGAGUCUACCUCAGCUCAGAUUCAAUUGUUCCCCAUCUUGGCUGUCAUGAAGAUAUUGAAGUUUUAUACCCACCAGAGUAUUUGAACAUGCUUACUUUCAGUGGGCUUCCUGCACACAAACUUGAGUUAAAGGUACGCUCACCCGUAAUUCUUCUACGAAACAUCAAUCAAACAGCAGGACUUUGCAAUGGCACCAGGUUAAUUGUUACACAACUAUUACCAAGGGUGAUUGAAGCACAAGUAAUAACCGGUACAGCUUUUGGCCAUCGUGUUUACAUACCCCGAAUUUCUUUAACGUACACCGACAAAGAGCUGCCUUUCACUCUUAAAAGAAAACAGUUCCCUUUACGCCUUUGUUAUGCAAUGACUAUUAACAAAAGCCAAAGGCAGUCCCUUAAUAAGAUUGGGGUUUACUUACCACAACCCGUCUUCGGCCACGGACAACUAUAUGUUGCCUUUUCACGCGCAACCUCACCUGACGCUUUAAGAGUUGUUAUCGCACCCACUGACAACUACAAUAAGAACGAAACAAAAAACUUGAUAAGCACAAUUUACUACUGUAUUAGUUAUACUUUAUUAACACAAAAACUAACUUUACUUACUAACAUUUACAGGUAAUCUAUUCUGCUGAGUAUAGUCCCACAUAGCUGUCAUAUUUGAACAAACGCCUUACAAGCAAAAGUGCAACAACCACACCUGGUUGCUCUUCUUGUAUUAUAUGUACAUACUUGUAAGUAGUGGUAACGCUAUUAGUAUUUCUUUGAAGCAUAAAUGCAGUAUAGUGUAUGUACUCCCUUUACCUAUCGCCCCUUUGUCUCGGUUUUUAUAUUUGUGGGUUUGGUUUCCUUCCCUUUUAAUUGCAUAGAUAGUUUGCCUCAGAAUUAAAUUACUAGAUGUUAAAUGCUAUAAACCUUAUCGCAUUUGUACCAAUAAAGUUUACAUCUUUACGAUCAACUGUUUGAUUCGUGGGAUAUUCUA